rnacentral:tRNA from 1 species
AGAAACAUGGCUUAAUGGUUAGGGUGUUUGGCUCACAAUCAUAAAGUUGUGAGUUCAAUACCUCAUCUUGUCCA